rnacentral:misc_RNA from 1 species
AAGUCGUAACAAGGUUUCCGUAGGUGAACCUGCGGAAGGAUCAUUACAAUACGUUACCACGUAUAAACCAAACGGUUGAACUGAUUGCGUCCGAUAGGAGAAAUACAUAGUGGUGGUGGCCGGCGGCUUGGAGGUUGGAAUCACUCAACAAUCAAAACACAUUUACUCUCCCGAGUGGUGGUUUUGAGGUGAUCAAAAGUGCCUCGGUCGGUCGUUCUGUUGCGUCAAGUAACGGAAGCCCUUUUUUCCUAGUUCGCGCAUUGAAUUUCCAAUUUCAAACACUUUUGCAUCGCCUUUUUUGUUUUCUUUUUUAACCCAUUUCACCUUUUUACUAUUAACAAUCAACGAACUAAAUCGAGAAUUGGUCUUAACGGACCGAUAUUCUUGCGAUAUUACGAAACUUAAGAACAACUCUUAACAACGGAUAUCUUGGCUCUC